UCAAGAAGGCUGGUGUCAGUGACUUGGGAU
rnacentral:piRNA from 1 species